rnacentral:lncRNA from 1 species
GCGCGGCCGCUCCGCCCUCACCUGAGCCUGAGGUUGGCCAUGAACUCGGGCAUGGAGACGGUGUCCAUCAGCACGAAGUCUGCCUUGCCGAAUUCCAGGCUCUCCUGCUCCGCCAUGGCGCCAGCGCGGGGGCUCAGGAUUAUUGCGGAUGUCUUGAGCAUGGGACCAUUCUUUUUGCAUCCACCAAAUAACUAUUGUACUACUUUGCAUAUAUAAAUAUGAAAUCCAUACUGGUUCAGUGGAAUGAAGUGAGUUGUAAGUAGUCUCCAAUUUAUUGAUACAUUGGUUGAGCUUGGAAAAUUCUUUUUGAACUCAAUGUAUUUUCCCAAAGAAAAUAUACUACAAAUGACUUUCUUUCUUUUUUUUUUUUUUUUCUUUUUCUGGAGACAAAUUCUCCCUCUGUCACCCAGGCUGGAGUGCAGUGGUGCAAUCACAGCUCACUGCAACCUCAAACUCCUGGGCUCAAGCAAUCCUCCAGCCUCAGCCUCCUGAGCAGCUGGGACUACAGGUGUAUGACACCAUGCCCAGCUAUUUUUUUUAAAUAAAUGACUUUCUAAGGUAUCUACAUUUAUUCAGUCCUGUGUUUCUGUUAGGACAUCUUCUAUUACAAAAUCUACGAGGAAAUCUAGAGGCCUCCAAGGACCUGGCUGGGCUUCAACUCUGGCUGAGUUUGAGAUGAGUAAACCAGACUGAAGGACCUUGCCCAAGGCCUGCUUCAGCUGCCAGCCACCCACACUUGCUAAGAGAAAGGAAAGGAGCUUUGUCACCUCCUGAGGGACUGCCUCUGCCAUCAGAAAACCACCCCAAUCCCUGGCACCAGCAGAGCUGGGUUGCAUCUGACUACCGUUAGCAGCUGUCCUUCAGAAGGAGGAGAUCCACCUGUCUCGAUAUCAGUGUCCUCAUUUGUGGAAUAAAAGCUCUGGAAUAAGAUCCACCCUGAUUUCAGCGGGCGUUCCUGGGUCUUGUAUGCACUAGGUGCCCUCAAUGCUUGGCAACUGGAAUGGGUUAGCCUGGAGGCAUUUAGGCUGUCCUUCUACAACCACAGAAGAGCCAUCACUGGCAGAGAGAUCCUUGGCGCAGUUAAGCAGAGAUCUUCUCAGAAGAGCUUUUGAAUAAAUGAAGUUGUUCAGAAUGGCCUUGUUAAAAUGACUCACUUGUCAAAAAACUAGAUGUGUUGGAAGGCUGGGUUGGAAGACAAGAUGUCUGAGAAGCUGUCCUGCUGCAUGAGGAGUUUCAUUGCUACACACCUAGUCUCUGGGUCCUGUGUUUUUGGCCUCCAGCUUACUUCGUGAACAUAAUAAAGGAAAGGCAUUUUCUCUUGUGCAUG